rnacentral:rRNA from 1 species
GUAGGGGGCGAGCGUUGUCCGGAAUNACUGGGCGUAAAGGGAGCGUAGGCGGUCGAUUAAGUUAGAUGUGAAACCCCCGGGCUUAACUUGGGGACUGCAUCUAAUACUGGUUGACUUGAGUACAGGAAAGGGAAGCGGAUUUCCUAGUGUAGCGGUGAAAUGCGUAGAUAUUAGGAGGAACACCAGUGGCGAGGGCGGCUUUCUGGACUGACACUGACGCUGAGGCUCGAAAGCGUGGGGAGCAAACAGGAUUAGAUACCCUGGUAGUCCACGCUGUAAACGAUGAAUACUAGGUGUAGGGGGUAUCAACUCCCUCUGUGCCGCAGCAAACGCAAUAAGUAUUCCGCCUGGGGAGU